rnacentral:rRNA from 1 species
UACGGAGGGGGCUAGCGUUGUUCGGAAUUACUGGGCGUAAAGCGUACGUAGGCGGCUUUGUAAGUUAGAGGUGAAAGCCUGGUGCUACAACACCAGAACUGCCUUUAAGACUGCAUCGCUUGAACGUCGGAGAGGUGAGUGGAAUUCCGAGUGUAGAGGUGAAAUUCGUAGAUAUUCGCAAGAACACCAGUGGCGAAGGCGGCUCACUGGCCCGAUACUGACGCUGAGGUGCGAAAGCGUGGGGAGCAACAGGGAUUAAGAAACC